CUAUAUAUAGCUAGAAUAUUAUUGAUAGCAAAAUGUUUUUUUUACUAUCAAAUUUUUAGCUUUUGAAUUAAUUAUUUUUAUCAUUUUCAAUUAUUGGAUUAAAUAUUAUAACUCAGUGGGGACCACUCAACCCUAGGGAUACCACUCAACUCUAUAAGGGACUAAUAUCAUUCUAACCCUACAAUUUCUCAUCUGGUCCAAGUGUUAAAAACUUGAUAGGAAAAAAGAUUUUUUGCUAUCAAUAGUGUUCCAGUCUAACUCUCUCUUUAUAUAUAUA
rnacentral:lncRNA from 1 species